rnacentral:rRNA from 1 species
UACGGAGGGUGCAAGCGUUGUUCGGAUUUAUUGGGCGUAAAGCGCGUGUAGGCGGUUUCUUAAGUCUGAUGUGAAAGCCCUGGGCUCAACCCAGGAAGUGCAUUGGAUACUGGGAGACUUGAAUACGGGAGAGGGUAGUGGAAUUCCUAGUGUAGGAGUGAAAUCCGUAGAUAUUAGGAGGAACACCGGUGGCGAAGGCGGCUACCUGGGACCGAUAUUGACGCUGAGACGCGAAAGCGUGGGGAGCAAAC